GACCUCGAAUCAGGUAGGAAUACCCGCUGAACUUAAGCAUAUCAAU
rnacentral:rRNA from 4 species